CCCGCCUCCUUUAACGGGUUCCCCACGUGGCCAAGCCCAUUCUGAAGCUGCAGAGAGCUAGGGAGUAAAGUACUGGUUUUCAACGUUGUUUUUGCCUCCAAUCUUACCCUGGACAGGGAAGAGAAUUGCUCGCUUUUGUAACCGCCUUGGACCAAGUUGAGAAAACCUUUUAACCCUAGAAAUAGACAUUUGAGUCUCUGGAUCAGUUUGACUUUGAGCUGGAAUUUGUUUCUUGUCUUUGGGUUUUCAUGGACUCCCUCCUAGCAAAUGGACAGCCAGAGAACUAGGGAGAGAAAGGAACUAGCAAGACCUGACGUUUCUUUAGUUAGAGUCAUUUUUUUUAAUUCCCUAUACACUGCACGAAUGUCAACCUGAAGAAUUGCUUUAAUAUCCUCCCCUCUGCUGAUAAUUAUCCCAAGGAAAGAAGCUGUGCUAUCCACACACCUCAGUUCAGGAUGGUAACGAGGCAUUUGGAGGAGAUACUUGCUGUGAAGAAGAACCACCGUGUCUAACAAGACUGAGAACUCUGUGCUAGAUGACUAGGUUUGGGGCCUUUCAGAAGCUAAUCUCCUGGGAGAAUAGAUUCCUCUCACUCUCACCACCUGCCUUUUUCUCUUGGUCUGUGAUGGUGUUUAGACUUCAAGUACUUGUUGUUGUAGAAUAAGCUAUCUCAAAUCCUUUGGGGAAAUAAGCAGGGAAUGUUGUUGAAUGGAUCAGCAGUAAACAAAGGACGAACUUUUGUGACCAUUGUC